rnacentral:rRNA from 1 species
UGCCAGCCGCCGCGGUAAUACGGAGGGUGCAAGCGUUAUCCGGAAUCACUGGGUUUAAAGGGUGCGUAGGCGGAUUAGUAAGUUAGGGGUGAAAUCCCGGGGCUCAACCCCGGAACUGCCUCUAAUACUGCUAGUCUUGAGUUCGAGAGAGGUGAGUGGAAUUCCGAGUGUAGAGGUGAAAUUCAUAGAUACCAUAAAGAACACCAAUAGCGAAGGCAGCUUACUAGACUGUAACUGACGCUGAGGCACGAAAGCGUGGGUAGCGAACAGGAUUAGAUA